GAGACACCCCUAUGGAGCAGGAUUGCUUCAGUGGGGCUUGGUGCUUGCUGAGUCUGCUCCUUGAGUGUGUCGCU
rnacentral:pre_miRNA from 1 species